rnacentral:rRNA from 1 species
GACGAACGCUGGCGGCGUGCUUAACACAUGCAAGUCGAGCGGUAAGGCCCUUUCGGGGGUACACGAGCGGCGAACGGGUGAGUAACACGUGGGUGACCUGCCCUCAGCUCUGGGAUAAGGCCCGGGAAACGUGGGUCCUAAUACCGGAUAUGACUUCAUGACGCAUGUUGUGGAGUGGAAAGCCUUGUGCGGCUGAGGAUGGGCCCG